UUUGGAAACAGAUACUGCAAUCCCAGAAAAUCUUGCCAUAAGAAGAGCCUAGCCAAUAGUUUGACUGCGAUUUCAUGGGAGACCUCAAGGCAGAGUGAUCCAGAAUACCACAGUCUGGAGGCUAUGAAGUCCAUGAUUAAGAAGCCAGCACGUUUGCUUUCUGGUUCCAAGAUGGCAUACCUUUUUGCUGCUUCCUCCAGAGAGGAGGAACACUGUGUUCUCACAUAGUAGAAGAUGGAAGGAGCAGAUGCAGAUGAGCAUGGCAAUGUGAGAAUAUGUCAGAGGCCCCAGGAUGAAAUGAGCUCAAGUCCCUGAAAUCCCUGUUAGAAGAGUCUUUCCACUGGUUGGGAAUGCUAAUUGUAUUUUGACAACUCAAUGUUUCAGCAACUCAAAAUGUUACAGCUUCUGCAUUGGAAUAAAAAAAGGAAAGAAAACAGAAUUUGUACUCAUAUCAGAAGGCAAUCAAAGAACAUACACAUAAUAUACAUUCUAUUAUAGAGCCCCCAAGCUGUAUGAACUUUAGACCCCACAUAACCUG
rnacentral:lncRNA from 10 species